GUGCAGAGUAUCAUUGCAGCGCUUUUCCAGGGAGUAACGUGCUGCACUGGUUCAGGGCUUUGUCUUUAUUCACAACACAUUCAUGUGCCUCAGCAUGGGGGCAGCUGCACUGUUGCCUGCCAGCCUGUCCUCUUUGACUGCCGAAUGAACCAAAGGAUAACUCUCCAUUCGUGAGAGAGAGUGAGCUACAGAGGAAGAAAGACCACGCAAAAGGGAGGGGGAGAGAGGGGGGAAGAGGAUGUUCUCCGGCUCACUCCUACAUUAGGUCUCUGUGCAAAGGCAGAGGCUGUGGGAGCAGCAUCAAGCAAGACUUCGGGCAGUGAUUCUAACUAUUGCCCAUGAACACCGUGGCUGGGACGACUUUGACGAGGCAAUUUAUUACUUACGCAUAGAACACUGGCUGUGCUGAAACUGGGAGCGCAAACAGCCCCUUGUUUUCUAAUUUAGAGACUUGCAUCUUUUCGACACUCAACAGUAUCAAGACACUCUGCUACUACAGAUUGAUUUCCACCAUCAACACCUUUACCUCUUCCCGCCUGAAAAUAAAAUAUGAAAUAUAACAAGUAAAUCGCAAUCUACCUUGCACAGAAUCUUCUGGAGAGGGAAAGAAGAAACCAUGUCUAGACAAGGUGCUGGAAAGACCCAGGGAAGACACAGAUGGGAUCAUCCAGUUGCUGGAAAACAAACUCAGGUCUCCCAUUGAUUCUACAUUAUGGGAAAUCAUCUUUUGGGAAUUUAUCUAAGAAGAACUUCUUAUGAUGAAGUCUCAUUCUGUCACCCAGGCUGGAGUGCAGUGGUGCCAU
rnacentral:antisense_RNA from 1 species